CUUGUCAAGCAAGAGUGACGGGCGAUUUGUGCAUAUGAGAUUUCUUCGACAGUUAGAAAUUUUUUUUUCCUACUUUAAGGCAAGUCCUCUUUAAUUAAUUUUUUCCUCAUUUCUCCACUUUAAAAAUUUUUUUAUGUAUCCCGCUGUUUUCUACCAUAUAUCCUCUGUCUUGAUUUAUAUUAGGAUGCCAUUAAUUUUUUAACGAAUUUUCCGUUUGCACACAAUGAUAUAGGGGGUAAAAUUUGUAGUUCUUUUAAUCGUGGGUUAUCUAUUACAUUGUAGGAUCCCCUGUUUAGGUCUAAUACCGCCAUUCCUCUUAGUUUUCUUUUACUUGAAUACUCCCUUUUAUUUUCUAGGA
rnacentral:rRNA from 1 species